AAAUUUAAUUGUUAUUAUUGUUGAAUGUUUAUUUAUUUUUAUUAAAAUUAAUUUUUUUUUAUUAUUUAUUUUGAAAAAAUUGUUUUUAUAAUAGUUGAUUUAUUUGUAAAAUGAUUAAUUUACUUUUUUAUAAGAAAAAUUAAUUUUUUGUACCUUGGGUAUCAGGGUUUAAUAAAUUAAUUAAUUGAAAAUUUUUAUCCCGAAUUUAGAAGAGUUAUAAUUAUUUUGUUAUUUAUUGUUGAAUAAAUAUAUUUAAUUUAAUUAUUGUAAUGAAAUGUUAUUCGUUUUUAAAUUUAUCUGGUUUUCUAAGAAAUAAAUUUAAUUUAUUUAUUUUUAAUAAUUUUUUUUAUUAUAAAUUUUUAUUAAAAAUAUUAAAUUUUUUAGGGGAAUAGCUUUAAAAAAUAUUAAUUAUUAAUUGUUUAUUUAUGUUUUUUAUUUAUGAAUAAAAUUUACUUUUUUUUUGUAUUUUAUAAUUAAGAGAAUUAAAAGUAUAUUAUUUAAAUGUUUUAUAAUUUUUAUAUUAGAAUGUAAAUUUUAAUUUUUUAUAUUAAGUAAUAAUGUUAUAAUUAGUAAAUUUUAUUGUAAUUUUUAUAAUUUUUUUAUAGGUUAGUAUAAGGAAUUCGGCAAAAUUUUACUCACCUGUUUAAUAAAAACAUGUCCUAUUUGUUUAUAAAUUUUAGGUCUGGCCUGCCCAAUGAUAUGGAUUGAAUGGUCGCAGUAAUUUGACUGUGCUAAGGUAGCAUAAUCAUUAGUUUCUUAAUUGGAAACUGGAAUGAAAGGUUGGAUGAGGUAAUAACUGUCUCUUAUUAAAAUAUUGAAUUUUACUUUUAAGUUAAAAGGCUUAAAUUUAGUUAAAAGACGAGAAGACCCUUUAGAUUUUUAUAUAAAAUAUAAAUUAAUUUUUUAGAAUAUAUUUUAAUUUUAUAUUUUAUAUUUGAUUGGGGUGAUUAUUAAAUUUAUUAAACUUUAAUUUUUAAUGCCAUUGAUUUAUGAUUAUUUGAUCCAGAUUUUUUGAUUUAUAGAUAAAAUUACCUAAGGGAUAACAGCGUAAUUUUUUUAGAGAGUUCUUAUCGAUAAGAAAGAUUGCGACCUCGAUGUUGGAUUAAAGUGUGAAAUUGGUGUAGAAGCUAAUUUAUUUGGUCUGUUCGACCAUUAAAACUUUACAUGAUCUGAGUUUAGACCGGCGUGAGCCAGGUUGGUUUCUAUCUUUAAUUAAUUAAAAUGUUUUAGUACGAAAGGACCAAAUUUUUUUUAAAUUAAAACUUAUUUGAAUAUUAAU
rnacentral:rRNA from 1 species